GAUGAAGAACGCAGCGAAAUGCGAUACGUAAUGUGAAUUGCAGAAUUCAGUGAAUCAUCGAAUCUUUGAACGCAUAUUGCGCUCUCUGGUAUUCCGGAGAGCAUGCUUGUUUGAGUAUCAGUAAACACCUCAACUUCCAUAUCUUUUUUGAAAUGGGAGUUGGACUUGAGUGAUCCCAACGCUUUUCCUCACCGAAAAGUGGCGGGUUACUUGAAAUGCAGGUGCAGCUGGACUUUUCUCUGAGCUAUAAGCAUAUCUUUUUAGUCUGCCUAAAAAACAGAUUAUUACCUUUGCUGCAGCUAACAUAAAGGAGAUUAGUUCUUGUGCUGACUGAUGCAGGAUUCACAAAGACAGGCUUCGGCCGACUUUGUAAACUCGAUCUCAAAUCAAGUAAGACUACCCGCUGAACUUAAGCAUAUCAAUAAGCGGAGGA
rnacentral:misc_RNA from 1 species